rnacentral:lncRNA from 1 species
CCAUAUACAAACCAAUCUCGGCAAUGACCAUGGAAGCUCGAGUCGGCGUAGUGGUGGAAGGAGGACAGAGGGCUCUCCACACAGCCACCGCCGUGAAUAACACCGUCGUAGACGCCGGAAACAGGAAGCUUUUACAGCAGCAACCUCAAACCUGCCAACAACAACAACAGAGUAAUAAACCGUCGCUGAAUCAGAAACAGGGCGGAUCCAUCUCGCAUCUCGUCGCCGGAGGAAUCUCCGGGGCCUUCGCUAAGACGUGCACCGCUCCUCUCGCUCGUCUCACCAUCUUGUUCC